AGCGAACGCUGGCGGCAGGCCUAACACAUGCAAGUCGAACGAACUCUUCGGAGUUAGUUGCGGACGGGUGAGUAACACGUGGGAACGUGCCUUUUGGUUCGGAAUAACUCAGGGAAACUUGUGCUAAUACCGAAUGUGCCCUUCGGGGGAAAGAUUUAUCGCCAUUAGAGCGGCCCGCGUCUGAUUAGCUAGUUGGUGAGGUAACGGCUCACCAAGGCGACGAUCAGUAGCUGGUCUGAGAGGAUGACCAGCCACACUGGGACUGAGACACGGCCCAGACUCCUACGGGAGGCAGCAGUGGGGAAUCUAGCGAAAUGGGCGAAAGCCUGACGCAGCCAUGCCGCGUGAAUGAUGAAGGUCUUAGGAUUGUAAAAUUCUUUCACCGGGGACGAUAAUGACGGUACCCGGAGAAGAAGCCCCGGCUAACUUUGUG
rnacentral:rRNA from 1 species